GCUGGGAAUGGUGGUGCAUACCUGUAAUCCCAGCAACUCAGGAGGUUGAGGCAGGAGAAUCACAAGUUCAAGACCAGCCUGCAUAACUUAGUGAGAUCCUGUCACAA
rnacentral:sRNA from 1 species